rnacentral:sRNA from 1 species
AUCUUUAUAAUAGUUCGGUUUUUUGGUGAAGUGAGUUUGCGUUUACAAUUAUCUUUACGUGUUAAAGAAAGUUAGUUGUUCGCUUGUGCAUGAUUUCCCGGAGGGGGGUGCAAGCACUGCGCAUUACGCUUUUGUCUUCAAUUU